rnacentral:rRNA from 1 species
GCCUAUAAUGCAAGUCGAGCGGACUUGAUGGAGUGCUUGCACUCCUGAUGGUUAGCGGCGGACGGGUGAGUAACACGUAGGCAACCUGCCCUCAAGACUGGGAUAACUACCGGAAACGGUAGCUAAUACCGGAUAAUUUAUUUUGCAGCAUUGUGAAAUAAUGAAAGGCGGAGCAAUCUGUCACUUGAGGAUGGGCCUGCGGCGCAUUAGCUAGUUGGUGGGGUAACGGCCCACCAAGGCGACGAUGCGUAGCCGACCUGAGAGGGUGAACGGCCACACUGGGACUGAGACACGGCCCAGACUCCUACGGGAGGCAGCAGUAGGGAAUCUUCCGCAAUGGGCGAAAGCCUGACGGAGCAACGCCGCGUGAGUGAUGAAGGUUUUCGGAUCGUAAAGCUCUGUUGCCAAGGAAGAACGUCUUCUAGAGUAACUGCUAGGAGAGUGACGGUACUUGAGAAGAAAGCCCCGGCUAACUACGUGCCAGCAGCCGCGGUAAUACGUAGGGGGCAAGCGUUGUCCGGAAUUAUUGUGCAUAAAGCGCGCGCAGGCGGUUCUGUACGUCUGGUGUUUACACCCGAUGCUCAACUUCGGGUCGCACUGCACAGUGGGGAACUUGAGUGCAGAAGAUGAGAGUG